rnacentral:lncRNA from 1 species
AAUUAUCUCCUAUGGGGAGGAAUUAUUUAGCCUAACAUUCAGAUAUCAACAAGUCUCUGUGACUUAGUUUGUGAGCUACCUAAGUGUUCAUUAUCAUCACUGGUGUUCUAGAUCUUCACUCAACCAUCUAGAUUUAGGCAACUGAAUUUAUCAGUAAGGACAGGGGAGCCUAAAGACAUCUGUUCAGUUGACCAAACAUUGGCACCUAAGCAAUCCUUGGAGGAUGAGAUGGUCAUCCACCAAAACACAUAACGAACAAUGACAACAAACAGAGAGAAGAAGCAGAACUCACUCAAGUGUGCAGAGAAACGGCUUAGAAACACAAGCAGUGAGCCCUGGCAACAUUUCUUUGAGCUUGCUUCCUUGAUUUCCAACAUUUUAAUUAACGAAGCUGAAAUAUUGAAGGGAAUGCUGGUCUAUUGAAGUAAAGGAUGAUUUUCCCACUGUUUUGGGAGAACUUUGCAUAUCUUUCACUUCUUUCCUGAUCAUACAAAAGCAAGGGGAGAAAAGCAGUGGAAAAGCAAAAAUUAA